ACGGAGGUCAUGAUUCAAACUUUGAACACCUUAUUUAUAGUGAUUUCUAAAUACUAGACUACUUAAAAAGAAAAUAUAAAGUUCACAAUUAUCUUUGUCUUUAUGUUUGUUGUGUGAGUUGUUAUAAUUCAAUGAAAAACUUCUUUUUUUAGUAACAAACAAAAAACGUACGAUGAAAAUAACUUUUCAACAAAUUUGAGAUUUCCUUCCUUAAAAAAAAAAAAUACAAAUUUGAUAUUUUAGAAUUGUGAUGACCCUUUUUCACCCCUGCUAAAAAUAAAUCAAACUCACACAAAUUAUUUAGAUACACAAACAGCAUCAUAUCAUUUUAACUAUUUUAAAAUACCAUGUUAUUGAAUUAUUUUUUAUUUUAUCUCUUUAAGCUGUGUGAGUGUGUCGAAAUGAUUUAUAUCCAUCAAUUAAUAAACAGGUGUUUGUGGAAGAUAUGUUGAAUGUGAGUGGAGGUUUAUAUGAAAUGGACUGGAAGCUGAAUACAAAUAUUUUCCUUUGGGUGGAUAUAUUUAGUGGGAGAAUGUAUAGAUUUUUUGGCUACCAUCUCUAUGCAUUAAAAUGUUAAAAAUAAUAAAUAAAAUAUGCUUGGGUUUAGAAUCAAAAUCCAGGUGAAGGAUACUUUGUCAAAGAAGCACAACAUUGAUAAUCCUCCGAUAAGCAAUGUUUCAUGGAACAAAUUGGUGCAUCAAACAGUCUCUUUACUUGAGUAGAGGCUUCACAAUGAUUGAUUAGCAACAAGGGGUGGUUUUAAUCAAUAGGAGUAUUGUUUGUGUCAACGAAUGUGUAUUAAAAUGGGAGCGCACAUUCAAAUCACCGUCUCAACAAAUAAAAUAAAAAAUGGGAGUGCACAACAUUUUUUUUUUUUGGAAGGUUUGGACGAAAGUAGUUGGGUUUGUGGUGUUUUUAUCAAAUAAUAGCUUGGUACAUGCGAAUAAAUUUCUCAGUUUGGCAUCAAGUGGUAGACAAAUGCAUGAAUGCAUCAAAUCCAUUUGAUUAUCUUGCAUUUGGUCUAGAGAUUCAUAAGUAAUUCGUUUUUUUGACGGCAUGAAAUUAAUGAAGGAACAAUCAUCGAUAUGGUAAAAUUCUUAUCUUGGUCAUUGAUUAAAUCCAAGAAGAAUGACUUGGAACUCUCUACCCCUUAUUUUUUUGGGUUAUAAUGUCGGUUAAGAUUUAUUGUAUCUUAAUUCGUGUAUUUUGAAGAUAUAUUGUUUCUUUGACUUGAACUAUUUUGUCAUUCUCCAUCC
rnacentral:lncRNA from 1 species